rnacentral:lncRNA from 10 species
CAAAUGUUUACUUAGCAUGCAAUUAUGAGCUUAAGGUGUCAGGAAGGCUACCACCCAGAAUAAGCUAAGACUUGAAAAGGAUACAAAACUCAAUAUUAGGAAAAUGUGAAGGGAAAUUACAAUGGGGGUUUUAAGUUUUAUUUGAGCAAGAAGAACAAGGAAGCAAUUUGCCUACUGCCUGGAGCAAGUGAGGUAAUGUUGACAGAUAUCAGACAGAAAGCAGAUCAUCCCCAGUUCAGUAUUUUCUGUAGAGAAGGCUGUUCAGAGAGAGAAAGGGGAUGGCAAAUGGCUCUCUCAGUUAGCUGGCUGAGCAUGUGAGCAGUCCGUACGACCAAGAUCAUUGUUGUCUCCAGCAGUGGAGAGCACCAGUUGCAGGAAUUUCAUCAGGGGCAUACAAGUCGUGGAUUUGACUGGGACAAUUUCUUGUACAUUUCCAUUGUUUUUAACAAGAGGAGGAAGCUGUGCUGUGAAGGAUCCUUUUUCAUCAUGAUUAUUGCAUCCACAGAAGCAGUGAUAAAUUCUAACAGAUAAUGCAACUCAGUCUACUUGGAUGUUCACACCUGAGACUGGAGAAGACCUGCUGCCUUCUGCAGAGCCAAACAUUCCUCACAUGCUCCUCCACAAUGCUAGUUAAUGCAGCAAGAAUAGUCUUAUAUAGACUAUAAACUCCUGGUACACUGUGUCUACAUUGCUCACUGCAGUAUCCCAACAUCUAAGACCAUGGUCUUAGAUGUCUGGUACAGGACUGGUGCUCAGUAUGCAUUGAAUGAAUAAAUGAAUGAAUAUAGCAAAGCAUUCCAUGAUGUUCUCUUGAAUUCAUUUAUUCUUUGGAAUUUGGUUAUUUUUUUUUGUUUUUUUGGUGCAGUGGUUAUGUACUACUAGGGGUAUGAUAUGGGUUCUUCAAUAAAUCUCUUCAAAUUAUAAUAAAGAUUUAGCGCUAACCUUCUGCUCACUAUCUCCCUCUAAGUACUACAGAUGGAUGUGAUUAGCAUGCAAUUUAUCAUCUUGAUGGAAUUCAUGUCUUACAGGCCUAUGGCUUUCAAAAUUGAAGUAUCUAGAUUUAUGUUAUUUUGUCAAAUAGGAAAUGGUUUUACUCUAUUGAGAUUCCUACACUUAAAAAUUUAUAUAGACCUUAAAAAAAUCCUAAAGAAGAGUUUGAAAAGUAUGGUUAGGCAUUCUUCUAGCCAUAUAGACUAUAGAGGAGAAUAAGUUUAAGGAAAUCAUCAAGUAAAGUCAAGAACAUAGUAAAAAUGGUAACAUACCACCUUCAUGUAAGAUAAAACCAGAUAAGAUUUUAAAAAGAAGCAUUUAUGCUAUGCUUAGGAAGCCAAUCCUGUUGAAAAAACUGAUAUUGCAGCCAUAUCUGUCUGUGAGUAGUUGUAACAAUGCUGUAGGUAACAUUUCUGAGAGCAUGAUACAGUGUAGGGGGAAUCGAUCUGUGGUCUUGGGGUCCUUGGGGAAAAGGGUAUAUGAAGAGUUCUUCCAAAGUGGCCUCUAAAUCCACCUGUGUAGUAAACAGUGUCUG